rnacentral:RNase_P_RNA from 1 species
ACGAUGAACCAGGCUGCCGCGGAGGGAUCCGGGAAAGCCCCGAUCCGCGGGACGGAGGAGGGCACGGAUGCCGUUCGAGGAAAGUCCGGGCUCCGUAGGGCAUGAUGCCGGGUAACCCCCGGGCGGAAGGGGCUAAAGCCCUUUCCGACAGAAAGCGCAACAGAAAAGAUACAGCCCCGGAAGACGGCCCCGAAAGGGGCGGUUUUUGGGCGGUAAUGGUGAAAUGGCGAGGGUAAGAGCCCACCGCAAUGCCGGCAACGGCAUUGGCCGGCAAACCUCAUCAGGAGCAAAAUCAAGCGGCGUAGCGAAAGACUGCUUUCGCGCCAGCGGCCCGUUGGUCAAACGCAGGUAGAUUGCCGGAGAAUUUUCUCCGGAGGCCGUCCGUAAGGCCGGUCCAAGACAGAUGGCAGUCAAGGCCAAAGCGCCCGCGGGUAUUUGGCCACAGAACCCGGCUUAUGGUUCAUCGUUUUU